ensembl:lncRNA
CGGGUAUGUGGUGGCUUGUUAUAAGGAACCAGAACACGGAUGUAUCAAGGUAAAUCUCAGUUGAGCUGUCACUCCUCCAUCUUGGUUGUGAAGCAGGAGAAGCUCCAAGGCUCCCCGGAGAGCUAAAUAACAUAUAAAACAUCAAAGAGGAAUGAGACAGAUAAUCUAUUAAUGUGGAGGCUGUAAGACUGGCUGGCUGGUUGGCUGGGCUGGCUGGCUGCUGCAAUUUAAGCCUCUGGAUGGGGGAGUAUCAGUGAGGAG